CCUACGGGUGGCUGCAGUGGGGAAUAUUGGACAAUGGGCGAAAGCCUGAUCCAGCCAUGCCGCGUGUGUGAAGAAGGCCUUCGGGUUGUAAAGCACUUUCAGUGGGGAAGAAAGCCUUGGGGCUAAUACCCUCGAGGAAGGACAUCACCCACAGAAGAAGCACCGGCUAACUCCGUGCCAGCAGCCGCGGUAAUACGGAGGGUGCGAGCGUUAAUCGGAAUUACUGGGCGUAAAGCGCGCGUAGGCGGUCUGAUAAGCCGGUUGUGAAAGCCCCGGGCUCAACCUGGGAAUGGCAUCCGGAACUGUCAGGCUAGAGUGCAGGAGAGGAAGGUAGAAUUCCCGGUGUAGCGGUGAAAUGCGUAGAGAUCGGGAGGAAUACCAGUGGCGAAGGCGGCCUUCUGGACUGACACUGACGCUGAGGUGCGAAAGCGUGGGUAGCAAACAGGAUUAGAUACCCCAGUAGUC
rnacentral:rRNA from 1 species